GACGUAGGGGGCGAGCGUUGUCCGGAAUUACUGGGCGUAAAGAGCACGUAGGCGGAUAUUUAAGUCUGAUGUGAAAGACCGGGGCUCAACCCCGGGGUUGCAUAAGAAACUGGAUAUCUUGAGGGCAGGAGAGGACAGUAGAAUUCCUGGUGUAGCGGUGAAAUGCGUAGAAAUCAGGAGGAAUACCGGUGGCGAAGGCGACUGUCUGGACUGACCCUGACGCUGAGGUGCGAAAGCGUGGGUAGCAAACAGGAUUAGAUACCCUGGUAGUCCACGCCGUAAACGAUGGAUACUAGGUGUGGGAGGUAUCGACCCCUUCCGUGCCGCAGCAAACGCAAUAAGUAUCCCGCCUGGGGAGUACGGUCGCAAGGCUGAA
rnacentral:rRNA from 1 species